ACCGUCGCAUGUCGGAUUGAGGAAAUGGUCCGCUGCUCCGGGAUGGUCUCGCGGCCUAUCAGUUAGUUGGUGAGGUAACGGCUCACCAAGGCAACGACGGGUAGCUGGUCUGAGAGGACGAUCAGCCACACUGGGACUGAGACACGGCCCAGACUCCUACGGGAGGCAGCAGCAGGGAAUAUUGCACAAUGGGCGAAAGCCUGAUGCAGCGACGCCGCGUGAGGGAUGAAGGCCUUCGGGUUGUAAACCUCUUUCAGGAGGGAAGAGGCGAAAGUGACGGUACCUCCAGAAGAAGCCCCGGCCAACUACGUGCCAGCAGCCGCGGUAAUACGUAGGGGGCAAGCGUUGUCCGGAUUCAUUGGGCGUAAAGAGCUCGUAGGCGGCUCAGCAAGUCGGUCGUGAAAGCCCGAGGCUCAACCUCGGGACGCCGAUCGAAACUGCUGUGGCUAGGGUCCGGUAGAGGAGAGUGGAAUUCCCGGUGUAGCGGUGAAAUGCGCAGAUAUCGGGAGGAACACCAGUAGCGAAGGCGGCUCUCUGGGCCGGCACCGACGCUGAGGAGCGAAAGCUAGGGGAGCAAACAGGAUUAGAUACCCUGGUAGUCCUAGCCGUAAACGUUGGGCACUAGGUGUGGCGGACUCAUUGACGUCUGCCGUGCCGUAGCUAACGCAUUAAGUGCCCCGCCUGGGGAGUACGGUCGCAAGGCUAAAACUCAAAGGAAUUGACGGGGCCCGCACAAGCGGCGGAGCAUGCGGCUUAAUUCGAUGUAACCCGAAGAACCUUACCUAGGCUUGACAUCACGGGAAAAGCUGUGGAAACACAGUGUGCGUAAGCGUCCGUGACAGGUGGUGCAUGGCUGUCGUCAGCUCGUGUCGUGAGAUGUUGGGUUAAGUCCCGCAACGAGCGCAAUCCUUGUCCUAUGUUGCCAGCGGAUUAUGCCGGGGACUCAUAGGAGACUGCCGGGGACAACUCGGAGGAAGGCGGGGA
rnacentral:rRNA from 1 species